rnacentral:rRNA from 1 species
UACGGGGGGGGCAAGCGUUGUUCGGAAUUACUGGGCGUAAAGGGUUCGUAGGUGGCUUGCUAAGUCAGACGUGAAAUCCCUCAGCUUAACUGGGGAACUGCGUCUGAGACUGGCCGGCUUGAGUGCAGGAGAGGAACGCGGAAUUCCAGGUGUAGCGGUGAAAUGCGUAGAUAUCUGGAGGAACACCGGUGGCGAAGGCGGCGUUCUGGACUGCUACUGACACUGAGGAACGAAAGCGUGGGGAGCAAACAGG